CUUGUAUGUAUAAUGUAACCAUUUGAGGUCCACUUUUAACUUGGACUAGUGUAACUCCUUCAUGCAAUAAACUGAAAAGAGCUAUGCUGUCUAGUCUUGAAGUCCCUCAUUUAAACAGAGGUCAAGAAGUAGGUGCCUGGCAGUGUCCACCCUGAAACAAAGCAAUAACAUGAUGUUUCAGCAAAGCCCAGAGCCCCAAGAUCAGAUGGCUGUGUCUGACCAAAAGCUUCUCAACUCUCCCUCAGCUGAGGCCCCUGCCCUAAGAGUGUCAUGACCUGAUCAGGAGGAAUGGGGUAAGGCAGCUGUACCACUAGAAGGGAGCCUUUGGUAGUU
rnacentral:lncRNA from 1 species